rnacentral:rRNA from 1 species
AUUGAACGCUGGCGGCAUGCCUUACACAUGCAAGUCGAACGGCAGCACGGGGGCAACCCUGGUGGCGAGUGGCGAACGGGUGAGUAACGCAUCGGAAUGUACCCAGUAGUGGGGGAUAACUAGUCGAAAGACUAGCUAAUACCGCAUACGCACUGAGGUGGAAAGCGGGGGAUCGCAAGACCUCGCGCUAUUGGAGCAGCCGAUGUCCGAUUAGGUAGUUGGUGGGGUAAAGGCCUACCAAGCCUGCGAUCGGUAACUGGUCUGAGAGGACGACCAGUCACACUGGGACUGAGACACGGCCCAGACUCCUACGGGAGGCAGCAGUGGGGAAUUUUGGACAAUGGGCGCAAGCCUGAUCCAGCAAUGCCGCGUGUGUGAAGAAGGCCUUCGGGUUGUAAAGCACUUUUGGCGGGAGCGAAACGGCGUUUGCUAAUACCAGACGCUAAUGACGGUACCCGCAGAAUAAGCACCGGCUAACUACGUG